rnacentral:lncRNA from 1 species
UUUUCCAGAUUUUGUUGUGUUAUAACUUGAAAUGGAAAUAAUUUUUUUCUUAAUGUAGCAAUAGAAUUUAUAAUCCACCAGACCCACCAGGGUACUUUGAUGGACAUGUGUGGCCCAUGUAUCUGAAACAUAAGAAAGAGAUGGAAGAAAAUGAAACCGGCAUUGUUUAUUUGGAUGGAACAAGAUCACAAGAAGACCUCUGUUCAAGGAUUUGUAACGAUAUACCUAAGAACUAGAAAAGGUGAGCAAGCCACUAUUAAGACACUAUUAUGAAUAUGAAUCCAUAUUACUCAGUGACACAAUAAUAGCUUCAUUAAAAUACUGAUGUAUAUAUUAUGCCUAAAAGCAAGUUCUUCUAAAGCGGCACCCACCAGA